GAUGAACGCUGGCGGCGUGCCUAACACAUGCAAGUCGAGCGGCAGCGAGGGGUGCUUGCACCCUGUCGGCGAGCGGCGGACGGCUGAGUAACGCGUGGGAACGUGCCCCAAAGUGAGGAAUAACUGCCCGAAAGGGUAGCUAAUACCGCAUAUUAUCUUCGGAUCAAAGGAUUUAUCCGCUUUGGGAGCGGCUCGCGUCGGAUUAGGUAGUUGGUGAGGUAAUGGCUCACCAAGCCGACGAUCCGUAGCUGGUCUGAGAGGAUGACCAGCCAGACUGGAACUGAGACACGGUCCAGACUCCUACGGGAGACAGCAGUGAGGAAUCUUCCACAAUGGGCGAAAGCCUGAUGGAGCAACGCCGCGUGCAGGACGAAGGCCUUCGGGUUGUAAACUGCUUUUAUAAGUGAGGAAUAUGACGGUAACUUAUGAAUAAGGAUCGGCUAACUACGUG
rnacentral:rRNA from 1 species